rnacentral:lncRNA from 1 species
UCAGCUUCUUCUGCUACUGUCACCAGCAGAUGGAGAGAGGGGUCAGUAUUUAUCCUCUUGUAACACCUGAGGGGACAGAGUUGCUGACAUGUCUCAUAGAGUCCUUGUCCCCCACCUCCCUCACCCAUUGCCCACACUCCCUCAUCCUCUCACUUCAAGAGGCCUUGUUACCCCCCUAAAGGCCUGGAUUAGGCUCCACUGGUUAAAAAUCUUGUUCUAACUCCAAGUCCCCUAGAAUGUCCAUACCUUUAAGGGCUGGCACUGGUGCAGCAGGACUGAGGUAGAGACCCCAGAGAUUCACUUACAUAGCUGUUUCCAGUAGCCAAAUGACCAGGGACCACUAUUUAUGAGACAAUAGGAUAUCCCUUUCCUGAGAACAUGUUGGCCAAGCAGCAGAAGUGGGUGUGUUGUCCCUGAGGCUGAAUUUGGUGGUCUUGAGACCUAGCAUAGUGAGGCCAAACACUGACUUGGAUGGGUGCUGAGCCUGUGAAGGAAAAAACUCUACCAGAGAAACCUGACUGGGUUCGCUUUGUUUGUACAGAUCUAGUGGAGUUCCCCUUAAGCCUGAGAGGCCACUGGAGCCUGAGAGGCCACUGGAGACCAAGUCUGGUUAUACGCUGUAGAAGCUGGGUAAAUACCAUUUGGAGCACAGGUCUGCAGCAGAUCCAGAGUAAAUAAAACCUGAUACCUGCAUUGGACAUCUAAAAAAUGUUGAAUCUGGCAAGCUAUAAAUGAUAACAUGAAACAGUUAUUGAGUGUGUGCGAUGUCUGGAUACUAUUCUAACCAAUGUGAAUGCAUCAUCGCAUUUAAACCUCGCAGCAAAUUUAAGAAGAAAAAAAUCUUCCAUGUCCUUGAGCCAGUUACCAGAGAAGAGCAGAAAUCCAGGGAGGACAAGGGAUUGACCUGGGUAGUAUUGAGCUGGAAGGUAAAAGCAAUGAACAAAAAGAGGUUCAGAUUCCUUAUUUUGGAGCGACAGUGUCAACAAGAAACAUCUGCCAAACCACAAGGACCAUGUAGAAGCUGGUGUCCCAGGAGGAGAUCUUCAGCAUUUCACCCAUCUCCCCCAAUUAUUUCUCCUGGAAAGACUGAGGCAUUUAGCUUCUUGGACUUCUCUCCAUAUAAAUGGCCACUCAUGGGCCAACUAACUGUGUGGUGUUCAAGACAAACAAUAUACAUCAUGUAAUAAAGAAUCAUUCUCCCCUGAGGGAAUCUGAGACUAAUUGAAAGGUUACUGUGUAAUAGGCUCCAUUUUCUUAAUCAUAUCUUGUGUUUGUGCAAAUGUUAAAAAAAAAGCCUCCCACCAAUGUAUUUUUAUCCAAAUGCUGCUCAAUUCUAUUAUAAUAAUUUUAUUGUCCUAACAUCCCUGUGAAAUCAGUAAACCAGUGAUGGAACAAACAGCUCUGCGUUGGUUUGAAUCAGGCACUAUGUUCAGGUUCCCAAAUUAGAAGGAGCAGUGGUCAGAUUGUCUGAAGAGAUGGACACUGGCCGUGGCACUAACUGGUUAUCUAACCAUUGUCUAAUAAUGGUCCUCAUUUCCUCUUUUGUAAAUCAAGAGAUUGGAGAGACAAUUUGCAGAAGUUUUUUUCCACUUCUAAGAUUCAAUGAGUCAAAGUUUGGAGACUUAUUUCAGAGGCAACCAGCUAUGUACAAAAUAUAGCAUUACAAAAUAGAAAAUAUGUUGGCUUUGUAGCAAAAAUACUUGGGCCUGAAUCUUGGAUUUACCACUAACUAGUAGUGUUACUUUGGCCGAGUCACCCUCUCUAAUCCUCACCUUUCCUCUAUAAAAUGGAAAUAAAAAGCCCUUAUAUGCUUAUUGCGAUGAUUAAAUAAGAAAACAUACAUAAAGCAAAUGGCAUGUGACGGAUUCUCAAUAAAUGGUAGCCACACUUAACUGCUUCAUAGGCCAACUGGAGCAUUGUCUCCAGAACAUAUUUGUACAUUUCUUACCUAUAAAUAUUCUUUCUAUAUCUAAAAAUAAACAUGGAUCUUCUCCACUUUUUCAAUUAAAGAAUGGAUUAUCAAGAGUGUAAUUACUAUAUUAACAACUCGAUUUUACAUAUGAGGAAAAUGAAGUUUAUAUGACUAGUCCGAAGUCACACAGAGAGUUAAUGACAGAGCUGUCUAGGAUCCAGGUCAUCAAAUCCCAGGAUGGUAUAUUUUACACACCCAACUGAUACUCUUUCCAAUAGGCCAUGUUGCUAUUAACAGUUUGUGGUGUCAGACAAAAAUAAUAAUGAUUUUUAUACACUAUAUUAGCUAAGUCUAUUAAGAACAGAAAAACAGAAUACUGGAAAUCUGAGUAACUCAAGCUAAAACACUUUUUCUAAAUUUCAAGACAAAAUAACUAAACAAACAGAAACAUUUGAGUAAUCGAGGGAGCAGCAAGACAGAUGAAUGUCACUAUUUGUCUCCCCAUAUCUACCUUUGUCUCCCUUCAAGUUAGUCUGAUCAUCUGAAUGAAGGGUACCACUGUUUAGCCAGAAACCUACAAGAAAUCCUUAAUAGCUUUAUAUCUCCUUCUAUUUCACCUCCUCCCUUACCUAAAUGUAACCAAGUCCUUCUAAUUCUAUCUUCUAAAUUCCUCUUAAUUCUGGUCAAUUCUUUGUACCUCGCUUUAACAGGUCAUAAUCUUUUCUCACCUGGACUACUACAACAACCUGUUACUUCGUCUCCAUUUUUUGGCUGUUCUUACUACCUAAAAAUCAAUUAUGUAUAGCUAGUUGAUCUUUUUAGAUGUAAACAAGAAUAUGUACCAAAACUUGAAAUUUUAUGUAGUAAAAUUUUAUUUGUGUAACUUGUCUUGUACACCACUUUUCUUCGAGUUGCUAAUUAUCUCAUUUUUAUUUGACUAACUUGCUAUAUGUAUAUAUCUAUUUU